AUCGUCAGCUGGUGGGGGUGUAGCCGUGAGGAGCCUGGUCGCUGUAGUGGCGCCGGCUUGGUGCACAACAAACUUCUUUGACUGCCAGACACACUAUUGGGCUUUGAGACAACAGGCCCGUGCCCCUUUUUGGGGGGUGGCAUCCGGUUGCGGGUGUCGGCGUGUUGUUGCCYCMCUUUGGUGGUGGGGUGUGGUGUUUGAUUUUGUGRAUAGUGGUUGSCSARMAWCCC
rnacentral:misc_RNA from 1 species